rnacentral:rRNA from 1 species
UCCGUAGGUGAACCUGCGGAAGGAUCAUUACAGAAAGUAAACGCGGAUCAAACCGCGAACUUCUAAACCUUUGACGAUUGACUCAUGUUGCCUCGGCGGGUUCUCCCGCCAGAGGAUACAUCAAAACUCCUGUUUUAACGGUGUUGUCUGAGCUACAAGCAACGAAUCAAAACUUUCAACAACGGAUCUCUUGGUUCUGGCAUCGAUGAAGAACGCAGCGAAAUGCGAUAAGUAGUGUGAAUUGCAGAAUUCAGUGAAUCAUCGAAUCUUUGAACGCACAUUGCGCCCCUUGGUAUCCCGAGGGGCAUGCCUGUUCGAGCGUCAUUUCACCACUCAAGCCUGGCUUGGUGUUGGGCGACGUCCCCUUUGGGGACGCGCCUCGAAACGCUCGGCGGCGUGGCACCGGCUUUAAGCGUAGCAGAAUCUUUCGCUUUGGAAGUCGGGGCCCCGUCUGCCGGAAGACCUACUCGCAAGGUUGACCUCGGAUCAGGCAGGGAUACCCGCUGAACUUAAGCAUAUCAAUAAGCGGAGGA